AUGGGAUUUUCCCCCCCUACAGCCGCUCCCGAUCCGCGUGGCCUCCCCCGAAUUUGGGAUCCCGACACCGACGACCCCAUAUCCGACGACCCCAUAUCCGACAUCGCCGCCCCAUUGUUUCUGUCCUCCCGCGGCUUCGCUCCACCCCACAGCAGCGACGACCCCAUAAAGGCGACGUCCGACCCCAUAAACGCCGACUCUCCGUCACCCCAUAAGCUGGGCUCGUUCCCGACCCUAAAAGACGACAAUGGGGACGAAGAGCUGAAGUUCGAAUUCCUCCCCGUGGAUUUGGGGUCAAAAGGGAAGAAAAAGGGCAAAAGGAACGCCGACCCCGUUAGGGUUGACCCUAUUGAUCCUAUUAGGGUCAAAGUCGGCCCCGUUGAUCCUAUUAGGGUCAGGGUUGACCCCGCUGACCCUAUAAAGGUCGGGGUUGACCCCACUGGUCCUACUGGGGUCAAGGUUGACCCGUUGGCCAACGUUGACCCCAUAAGGGUCGGGGUUGACCCCAUAAGAGUUGGGGUUGACCCCACUGACCCCAUUAGGGUUGGGGUUGACCCCACUGACCCUAUUAGGGCCAAGGCAGACCAGUUGGCCAACGUUGACCCCAUAAGAGUUGAGGUUGACCCCAUUGGGGUUGGGGUUGACCCCACUGACCCUAUUAGGGUCAGGGCUGGCCCGUUGGCCAACGUUGACCCUAUAAGGGUUGGGGUCGACCCCACUGACCCCAUAAGGGUUGGGGUUGACCCCACUGACCCUAUUAGGGCCAGAGCUGGCCCGUUGGCCAACGUUGACCCUAUAAGGGUCGGGGUCGACCCCACUGACCCUAUUAGGGCCAGAGCUGGUCCAUUGGCCAACGUUGACCCUAUAAGGGUCGGGGUCGACCCCACUGACCCUAUUAGGAUUGGGGUCGACCCCACCGACCCCAUUGGGGUCAACCCAUUGGCCAAGGUUUACCCCAUUGUCACCGUGGCGCAUUUUGGGGUCGCGGAGCUUUUGGGGGAUCCCAAUCUUUUGGGGGAUCCCAAUCUUUCGGGGGACAUCAGCGGUUCCGGGGACACCGAUCUUCCCACCACCGUCAUCACGACCCCAAAAACCCCAAACCCCAUAACCACCCCAAAUCCCACCACCACCACCACCCCGGAGCAAGGUGGGUUCCUUCCCCAAUCCCCCUGA
rnacentral:lncRNA from 1 species